GACGAACCGAGCAAACGUUAUUCGGAAUCACUGGGCUUAAAGGGCGCGUAGGCGGGCAUUCAAGUCCGUGGUGAAAUCCGGCAGCUCAACUGUCGAACUGCCGCGGAUACUGGGUGUCUCGAGGGAGGUAGGGGCGUGCGGAACUAUUGGUGGAGCGGUGAAAUGCGUUGAUAGUCAAUAGGAACUCCGGUGGCGAAGGCGGCACGCUGGACCUCUUCUGACGCUGAGGCGCGAAAGCCAGGGGAGCAACGGG
rnacentral:rRNA from 1 species